rnacentral:tRNA from 1 species
GCGCCAAUAGCUCAGCCGGAUAGAGCAACUGCCUUCUAAGCAGUAGGUCGCAGGUUCGAGUCCUGCUUGGCGCGCCA